CGCCUAACACAUGCAAGUCGAACGAAGUAGCAAUACUUAGUGGCAGACGGGUGAGUAACAUGUAGGUAUCUGCCCUUUGGCCUGGAAUAACACGAGGAAACUUGUGCUAAUACCGGAUAAGUCUUUACGGAGAAAGCUUUAUGCACCAUUGGAUGAGCCUGCACUUGAUUAGUUUGUUGGUGGGGUAAUGGCCUACCAAGACUGUGAUCAAUAGCUGAUUUGAGAGGAUGAUCAGCCACAUUGGGACUGAGACACGGCCCAAACUCCUACGGGAGGCAGCAGUGGGGAAUCUUGCACAAUGGAGGAAACUCUGAUGCAGCGAUGCCGCGUGAGUGAAGAAGGCCUUUGGGUUGUAAAGCUCUUUCGUCGGGGAAGAAAAUGACUGUACCCGAAUAAGAAGGUCCGGCUAACUUCGUGCCAGCAGCCGCGGUAAUACGAAGGGACCUAGCGUAGUUCGGAAUUACUGGGCUUAAAGAGUUCGUAGGUGGUUGAAAAAGUUAGUGGUGAAAUCCCAGAGCUUAACUCUGGAACUGCCAUUAAAACUUUUCAGCUAGAGUAUGAUAGAGGAAAGCAGAAUUUCUAGUGUAGAGGUGAAAUUCGUAGAUAUUAGAAAGAAUACCAAUUGCGAAGGCAGCUUUCUGGAUCAUUACUGACACUGAGGAACGAAAGCAUGGGUAGCGAAGAGGAUUAGAUACCCUCGUAGUCCAUGCCGUAAACGAUGUGUGUUAGACGUUGGAAAUUUAUUUUCAGUGUCGCAGCGAAAGCGAUAAACACACCGCCUGGGGAGUAC
rnacentral:rRNA from 1 species